rnacentral:rRNA from 1 species
AGCGAACGCUGGCGGCAGGCUUAACACAUGCAAGUCGAGCGGGCGUAGCAAUACGUCAGCGGCAGACGGGUGAGUAACGCGUGGGAACGUACCUUUUGGUUCGGAACAACACAGGGAAACUUGUGCUAAUACCGGAUAAGCCCUUACGGGAAAAGAUUUAUCGCCGAAAGAUCGGCCCGCGUCUGAUCAGCUAGUUGGUGAGGUAAUGGCUCACCAAGGCGACGAUCAGUAGCUGGUCUGAGAGGAUGAUCAGCCACAUUGGGACUGAGACACGGCCCAAACUCCUACGGGAGGCAGCAGUGGGAAUAUUGGACAAUGGGCGCAAGCCUGAUCCAGCCAUGCCGCGUGAGUGAUGAAGGCCCUAGGGUUGUAAAGCUCUUUUGUGCGGGAAGAUAAUGACGGUACCGCAAGAAU